GCCAAGCAUCCGGUGGUUUUCGUGCCUGGAAUUGUUACCGGCGGGCUGGAAUUGUGGGAAGGACACCAGUGUGCUGACGGAUUGUUUAGAAAGCGACUCUGGGGUGGCACAUUUGGGGAAGUGUACAAAAGACCGUUAUGCUGGGUUGAGCAUAUGUCACUGGACAAUGAAACUGGACUGGACCCUCCUGGCAUAAGGGUCAGGCCUGUAUCUGGACUUGUGGCAGCUGAUUAUUUUGCACCUGGUUAUUUUGUCUGGGCAGUUUUAAUUGCUAAUUUGGCUCGCCUUUGGUAUUAUGUAUAUGGCUGCAUAUGAUUGGAGAAUAUCAUUUCAGAACACUGAGGUAAGGGACCAAACUCUGAGCCGGAUAAAAAGUAAUAUAGAACUCAUGGUG
rnacentral:misc_RNA from 1 species